UACGUAGGGGGCGAGCGUUGUCCGGAAUUAUUGGGCGUAAAGAGCUCGUAGGCGGUUCGUCACGUCGGCUGUGAAAUCCCGAGGCUCAACCUCGGGUCUGCAGUCGAUACGGGCGGACUGGAGUACUGCAGGGGAGACUGGAAUUCCUGGUGUAGCGGUGAAAUGCGCAGAUAUCAGGAGGAACACCGGUGGCGAAGGCGGGUCUCUGGGCAGUAACUGACGCUGAGGAGCGAAAGCGUGGGGAGCGAACAGG
rnacentral:rRNA from 1 species